UGUUAAAAUUUUUAUUCAUUUGUACUAUUAAAAAUUGACAUGGUUGACGGAAUAACUAGAUAAUGACAUUUGAUGCACCAAUUUUUAACAAUAAAAAUAAAUAAAUUUUUAAUA
rnacentral:pre_miRNA from 1 species